AAGUCGUAACAAGGUUUCCUUCCCGUUAAGAGUUUUAACUACAGAAGCCUUACACAGCGACUGUAAAUAACUGUGGAGUCUUACCAUAGGUAAAGACAAUACCGCUGAAAUGCUGUGAUCACGACAAAGUGUACCAGCAGCCUAAUCCAGGCCCACAGAUCAAGUGGCGGUGGUCUUAGCUACACAGCUUUAGACUAUGAUAUGACCGGUUCUUAUCCUGACGGUUAAGAGCUUUAACGUUCCGUAGGUGAACCUGCGGAAGGAUCAUUAAAAGGUCAAUAUCCCCAUUUCAAAAGACCCAUUUCUAUAUAUAUCUUUCCUGUGCCGGCUUCAGACGCCACCACCCCAACAUUCCCUUGCGGAAGUCCUCGACGAUGGGGUGUGGGUGUCUGGGGCCGGCCAGGAAGCCAGAGUUCAAGAAUCCGGGGGGUUGGGGUGUCCUUCAUCCUUUGUUUAACUACCAUGUUGCUUUGGCGGGCCCGUCUUUAACCGGACCGCCGGAGGUCAAAGCCUCUGGCCAGCGCCCGUCAGUAGCCCACAACAAAUUCUUUUAACCAUGUAUCUUCUGAAAUAGUUAAAUAACUAAA
rnacentral:misc_RNA from 1 species